GUGCAUCUUAGUCCUUCUGCCUUUGGGUCUUACUGCUACUACUCAUUCUACGACUAAUAAAACAUUGGGGAGAUUUUCCAACGACUUUCUCGUUGUUUGAUGACCUCUAGGUCAAAGCUGGAAAAUAACUUUCCACUAGCUGUAGUCUAUUCUAUUUCAAUUCAGCUUCCUCUAAAAUAACAAUGUUACUAUUUAAAAUGUGAGAAUAGUAGAAUGUCAUGAAAGGAUGAUGGAUUGACUCCAUAUGUGAACAACGGGUUCUUUCUUCAGUUUGCGACACAGUAUGAUUGCACGGGCCGAAAUGAAUUUCAUGCCUCCCAUUUAUUGCGUCUCUCUGUAUGAAUGUGCCGGGAUGCCUUAAACAAUAAAUACAGUAGUUUCUCACAAACUGGCUUCAUAUUAGGGCUAAAGGGGGGAAAAAUAACCGUGGAGAGUAAAGUAAUUACCUUUCAGGGAUGAGUAUGAGAAGUCUGAAAGUAUUUGUAGUUGUAACUCCUGGUGUGUGUGUGUGUGUGUGUGCGAUGCAUUGGGCAUUUUAUUCUUUGCAGAAAUAAUGUCUGCUACACAGAUCUUAACCAGAUUGGGGACUGAAGGGAUGAACUGCUUCAGCAUCUCUCCCUCCCACCUCUAAAUACAUAUAAAGGAAAGGUUCUUUGGAAAAAAAGGAUAAUAGGUUCUCUUUUGCGUUUGUCAUUUGUCACAAAGCUUAGUUAAUGCUUUUUAAUUGCCCACUAUUUGCUGACAUUGUGCUUUAGUUUACUGUGUGGUACAGUGAGAGGGUGAUGCCUCUUUCAUCGGGACGAGCACGUGGAGGAGACGGGCGAUAAUUCUUCGGUCUGUUGAUUACAGUAAUCGAUGUUACGUUUAAGACAAAGUGGUUACCGGCUGGUGAGUGAUUUGAUUCUCAAAGAUUGGCAGGUGGAGCUGUGCGUGCCGCACGUAGACGGAGAAGGGUUGUGUAUCACAACAUCAUCAAGUGGUUCUACUCCACUAAACCGCGUCAUUCAAAAAAACAGGAAGAUGAAUACAUAUAAUAUAUGUUACAACUUUAAAAUUUAAACUUUCCUCUGUGCGACGCGGAUGUUGAGGCUUUGCAUUCACUUGAGAAAUUAAUUUGCACCUGAUUUUCUGCCUCAGCGCUAUUAUGAAGUCCAUGUUAAGAAUACCGACAACUAUCUUCUCUUGCUUCAAAUCAACAGCAUGAAUAUCUUAGAAUUCAGAGAAAAAAAUGUAAUUUGAAAACAAUGGGGGGUAUGUUGCAGAAUUCAAAUCAAAACAUGAGAGAUUAUAGUCACGCUAAUUUGGAAGGCGGGGCAAAUAUCUUUUCUUUAAUUUAAUUGCUAUUGAGACCAACAGACAUGACAAGACAAGAGAACAAAACUCUACCUUCACUUACUUCUUUCCAGAAGUUCUACCUUUCGUCUGGAGACUGAAUAAAACCAGGAGAUGUAAGGCAGAGUUUGUGCGAUAGCUAACUGGAGCAAAGCCGGGCGAAGCCGGCCCGGUACCUGUAAUCCCUCCGAGCUAAUAAAGGUUAAUCUGCUGAAGAUAUGAAGAUUUCAAGAUAGUUUGUUUUAGUUCUGUUUGUACAAACAGCCCUUUAAUCAAAAUGUCGAAGAAUGGACCGUGUCACUGAGUCUUAGAGCAGCUUUUCAAAAAGUAGGAAAAAGUCACGUGUAACGAAAUAUACUUUUUAAAAUAUGUUUUACUUACUGUGAACAUAAUCGGAAGCUAAUUUGGAAAUAGUAGUCAUCACAGCAGAUAUCACAAGCAGACAUCUCUCAUUUUAAAGCUCCAUGAUAAGAACCAAUAAAAAGUUGGCUGAGCAGAAAUUCAAAUUCCAACAAUAUGAUAGUGUCGGUACAAUGAGCCACGCCAUUACAGUCUGCUGAAGGGUUGCGUUUUUUAACUCACUUGCUGGUCCUCCAUUGUCUGCAGCAAGAAUUUAAAUAAGGUGUUUUGCUUGCUGGAGGAGAGCAACACGUUAGAACAUUGAUAAUGGAUACGAGGCACAUGUUCUUUUUAUUGUUAAUACAUAUGAUCCCUCUGUAAAAAUGGUGUUUUAAAUAGUAUCGACUAAAAAAUGCAUUUAAAUGAAAUCAUUUUGAGAGCAGAGGGGAGGGCCGUCUGGAAUACUAGUUGAAACCUUUUUAGGUUCAUAACAAGCACAUAUUCUGUUCCCUUGGAAGAACCCAUCCUGCAUCGAGUGUGUAGCCAGGUAGCUAUUUGGAGUCCGUCGCUUGUAACUUUGACAUUUAAUGUCAGAAAAGUGAAACGUGCCAGUCGAGAGGAGCACGAAGGCGUGCAGUGCGCGAGCUCCCUGCAUGUCGUUUCACCCCGACUCUUCACCGUCCACCGCGCCCUCGCUCUCUCUCUCUCUCUCUCUAACAAGCCGUCCCAGAUGUGCUGACAUGCAGUUCACCUUCGGCGCCGGAGGAGCAGGGAAGGGAAAAGACCUUUGAAGUGAAACGGAUCCCCAUCAGUAAGCUGCAAGUCGCAGCUUAAAGCUCUAAGAUGGAAAGAGACAGCAGUUCGGCACACGAUUGAAGGGACGGGAAGAUGGACUUCAGCCGCACAGAGAGGACAAAUCAAAAGACACACUGUGCAGAGUGACACCGCCCUCGCCCGCGUUACUUACAUCCAACUGACACGUCGACUCACAGACUGCAAACGAGCAGGAGAUGAGGUUUCGACCCAAUGAGUCACAUCUCGUCUGGCUCCGUGUUAUACAUAAAGAUGACGGGCAGUGUGUGUGUGUGUGUGUGUGUGUUCUGAACCGGCAUGUGCUCAUCAGUGUCAGGGCUUCGUCCCGCCGAAUGUUUACGUAUUUCAAUACGUUAAAAUCUUGUUUUGCACGAAUAGAUUUAGCAUUGAUAUUAUUGUAGAAAGAAACAUUUACAUUUUUAUUUAAGUGUCAGACGUGCAAUUAUGGUUAAAAGAAAGGUUAUUAUGUAGAGUAAAAAUGGAAAAAAUGUGUGCAGAAACCAAUCAGUACAAAGAAAAUGCAAGCGCACAACAAUGCUUUUUCCACUGAGUAGGUGACAAAACAAGUGGAGAGAGUGCAGCAAAAGAAGAAUCACAGAUCGACUUCGACAUCCCUCGAACCACGCUGCUGGCCUGAUUUAGAAACAAGCUUCCUUCGCAGGUGUCCGUGCUCCUGCUUCAGGUAAAGGUGAGGAGCUCUGAUAUCUUGAAGGAACAUGGAACAGAAGCACUGCCCUGCUGCUUUACAAAAAAAGAGCCUUUGAGGUGAUUCGGGUACUCGAUCCCCUGCAGAAGUGCUCCAUGCAGCCUGGAGGCAGAGCCACAACACGCUCCAGGGGUCACGCUUCUCAAAUGCCUUUGGAGGAGGAGGUGACCGGAGGAAAGACGUAAGGAUGUACGGGUUGCCUAGCUUGACCCCGAUGAACAGCGAGAGAUCGUGCGGCUGGGUGGUGAGAGCUACAAUAAGACACUAUUGUUAAUGUACUGCAGGCAUUCGCCUUAUUGGAGCGAGGACCAACUGAAAGGCAUCAUUUACUUCCACCAGAUGAGGUUUUUUUUUUUCAAUCUAUGUAAAAUGUUAUGUAAAAUUGUAAUUCUACCCACUCUUCAGAAAGCGAGAUAUUUAUCUCGUCUUUUCCACAACACUGAACAAUAGCUGCGUUGCUGAAUUAUGUAUUUUUUCAACACGAGCGGAGGCAUUUCAAUGUCGUUGUUUUUUUGGACCGUGCCGAUCCAGCUGCUUGCCAUUAAAACGUAUGAGAAGGCAGAAGAAAGCUCAGAAGACGAGGAGUGAAUGGAUGGUGAGGCAGGAAGUAGAAAGGUACAGAAAAAGAGGGAGUGGGAGGAUGAGAGGGGAAGUGGAUGGAUGUUAUUGAACAAUCCCAAUAUAUCUGUCUCUCUGCAAUAUAACACCAUUUUCCGAAUAAAAUCUUUCUUCUUAAA